rnacentral:misc_RNA from 1 species
UCUCCGUAGGUGAACCUGCGGAGGGAUCAUUACAGAAUUCUCGCUCUCGCGGGUACUUCCCCCACCCACUGUUAUCGUUACUGCCGUUCCUUUGGCGGGUCGCCGGUUCCCCGUCUGCCGGCGUCUAUUAGGCGAGUCGCGCCUGCCAGAGUCCUUCGAACCCUGAAUGUUAGUGUCGUCUGAGUAUUAUAUCAUAGUUAAAAUUUUCAACAACGGAUCUCUUGGUUCUG